UACGUAGGUGACAAGCGUUGUCCGGAUUUACUGGGCGUAAAGAGCGCGCAGGCGGUCGUUCAAGUCGAGUGUGAAAGCCCCCGGCUCAACUGGGGAGGGUCAUUCGAUACUGAUCGACUCGAAGGCAGGAGAGGGUAGUGGAAUUCCCGGUGUAGUGGUGAAAUGCGUAGAUAUCUGGAGGAACACCGGUGGCGAAGGCGGCAUCCUGGACCGGUAUUGACGCUGAGGCGCGAAAGCUAAGGGGAGCAAAGCGGGG
rnacentral:rRNA from 1 species